UACAGACCUUUGUGCGCAAUAGAAUUG
rnacentral:sRNA from 1 species